UAACUGCGCGUCGGAAUGUGAACUGCAGGACAUAUGAGCAUCGACACUUUGAACGCAUAUUGCGGGCGCUGGCUCGUCCACCGCCCAUGUCUGGCUCAGGGUCGGUUUUGCAUCCUUCCCAGGUGAAUUCCUGGGCAUUGGGCUCUCGCCUCGCCGUUCUCGGCUUGGCGUGGCUUCAAGUUGCGAGCGCGUCUGCCUCUGACGAACCGCUCUGACUCUUGGGCUUGUCCCGGGUCUGGCGUGUCGGCGGCGACGUGUGCUGCUGCCAAGUUUUGGCAACGGCGACCACUCAAUUUUCGACCUGAGAGCAGGCAAGGUGACCCGCCAAAUUUAA
rnacentral:misc_RNA from 1 species